rnacentral:rRNA from 1 species
CCUACGGGCGGCAGCAGUGAGGAAUAUUGGUCAAUGGACGAGAGUCUGAACCAGCCAAGUAGCGUGAAGGAUGACUGCUCUAUGGGUUGUAAACUUCUUUUAUAUGGGACUAAAAUGUUCCACGUGUGGGAUUUUGUAUGUACCUUAUGAAUAAGGAUCGGCUAACUCCGUGCCAGCAGCCGCGGUAAUACGGAGGAUCCGAGCGUUAUCCGGAUUUAUUGGGUUUAAAGGGAGCGUAGGUGGAUUGUUAAGUCAGUUGUGAAAGUUUGCGGCUCAACCGUAAAAUUGCAGUUGAAACUGGCAGUCGUGAGUACAGGAGAGGUGAGCGGAAUUCGUGGUGUAGCGGUGAAAUGCUUAGAUAUCACGAAGAACUCCGAUUGCGAAGGCAGCUCACUGGACUGCAACUGACACUGAGGCUCGAAAGUGUGGGUAUCAAACAGGAUUAGAUACCCCUGUAGUC